GGAACAGAAGAAGCAGAGAGAGGAAGAAAGACGUCUCUGUGUGUCAGGGUUCAGUUUCUGUUCCACCGCACAGAAAGUUAGGCUUCUCAGAGUCCCACCAAUCAUAACACUCAUAAGAACAUCGGUACCAAUCACAACACUCAUAAGAACAUCAGCGGCAGCUACAGUAAGUAAGGGUUCCAUCUGCAUUUAGAGUCUGUUGUUGUCUCAACCUGAAGGCCAAAGAAGUGUCAAUGCCAGUAAAGCAGGCCAUUAUUAUCCUGAAGAAUUAUAAUAAAUAAAUCGGAGAUGGAGUGUCGAAAUCAACUGUUUGGUGCUUUGUCAAGAAGCAAGAACAUACUGGUAAGCUCAGCAAUGCCAAAUGACCUGGUAGACCACAGAAGAGUCCUUCAAAUGGUGAAGAAAUGUAAAUGUAAAUGUCCAACAGAUCAAGAGCACUCUACAGGAUGUAGGCGUAGAUGUGUCAGAGACGACCAUCAAGAUAAGACUAUGCCAUACAGAGUCACUGUCAUCUUUCAAAAAACUUCUCAAAACUCAUCUGUUUACUCUUGCAUACCCCUGACUGUUUCCUUCCCUUUACAUGUUGUUGUAUCUAUCUCUGUCUGCUGUCUGUUUGUUUGAUAUUAAUUGUAUGUUCAUUGUAAAUUAUUUUUAAUUGGAUAUGUUGUAUCAUGUUUUCUUUUUUGUUGAUGAUUUUAAAUGGGAUAUUUUGUAUCAUGUUUUUACCAUGUUUAUUUUGUAUUUUGUACAAUGUAAGGUGACCUUGAGUGUCCAGAAAGGUGCCACUUCAAAUAAAAUUGUAUUAUUAUUUAUUA